CAACUACUCCCUCUGUCCCAAAUUUCUUGUCUUAGAUUUGUCUAGACACGGAUGUAUCUAAUACUAAAAUGUGACUUGAUACAUACGUAUCUAGACAAAUCUAAGACAAGAUACAUCCAUAGCUAGACUAAUCUAAGACAAGAAAUUUGGGACGGAGGGAGUACUUU
rfam:Triticum aestivum genome assembly, contig: Triticum_aestivum_CS42_TGACv1_scaffold_513499_6BS